rnacentral:rRNA from 1 species
UACGUAGGGCGCAAGCGUUUGUCCGGAAUUAUUGGGCGUAAAGAGCUCGUAGGCGGUUUGUCACGUCGGAUGUGAAAGCCCGGGGCUUAACCCCGGGUCUGCAUUCGAUACGGGCAGACUGGAGUGUGGUAGGGGAGACUGGAAUUCCUGGUGUAGCGGUGGAAUGCGCAGAUAUCAGGAGGAACACCGGUGGCGAAGGCGGGUCUCUGGGGCCGAUACUGACGCUGAGGAGCGAAAGCGUGGGGAGCGAACAGG